rnacentral:rRNA from 1 species
UCGGAGGUACUCGAGUGGCGAACGGGUGAGUAACACGUGGGCAAUCUGCCCUGCACUUCGGGAUAAGCCUGGGAAACUGGGUCUAAUACCGGAUAGGACCUCAAGACGCAUGUCUUCUGGUGGAAAGCUUUUGCGGUGUGGGAUGGGCCCGCGGCCUAUCAGCUUGUUGGUGGGGUGACGGCCUACCAAGGCGACGACGGGUAGCCGGCCUGAGAGGGUGUCCGGCCACACUGGGACUGAGAUACGGCCCAGACUCCUACGGGAGGCAGCAGUGGGGAAUAUUGCACAAUGGGCGCAAGCCUGAUGCAGCGACGCCGCGUGGGGGAUGACGGCCUUUCGGGUUGUAAACCUCUUUCACCAUCGACGAAGGUCCGGGUUUUCUCGGAUUGACGGUAGGUGGAGAAGAAGCACCGGCCAACUACGUGCCAGCAGCCGCGGUAAUACGUAGGGUGCGAGCGUUGUCCGGAAUUACUGGGCGUAAAGAGCUCGUAGGUGGUUUGUCGCGUUGUUCGUGAAAUCUCACGGCUUAACUGUGAGCGUGCGGGCGAUACGGGCAGACUAGAGUACUGCAGGGGAGACUGGAAUUCCUGGUGUAGCGGUGGAAUGCGCAGAUAUCAGGAGGAACACCGGUGGCGAAGGCGGGUCUCUGGGCAGUAACUGACGCUGAGGAGCGAAAGCGUGGGGAGCGAACAGGAUUAGAUACCCUGGUAGUCCACGCCGUAAACGGUGGGUACUAGGUGUGGGUUUCCUUCCUUGGGAUCCGUGCCGUAGCUAACGCAUUAAGUACCCCGCCUGGGGAGUACGGCCGCAAGGCUAAAACUCAAAGGAAUUGACGGGGGCCCGCACAAGCGGCGGAGCAUGUGGAUUAAUUCGAUGCAACGCGAAGAACCUUACCUGGGUUUGACAUGCACAGGACGCGUCUAGAGAUAGGCGUUCCCUUGUGGCCUGUGUGCAGGUGGUGCAUGGCUGUCGUCAGCUCGUGUCGUGAGAUGUUGGGUUAAGUCCCGCAACGAGCGCAACCCUUGUCUCAUGUUGCCAGCGGGUAAUGCCGGGGACUCGUGAGAGACUGCCGGGGUCAACUCGGAGGAAGGUGGGGAUGACGUCAAGUCAUCAUGCCCCUUAUGUCCAGGGCUUCACACCAUGCUACAAUGGCCGGUACAAAGGGCUGCGAUGCCGUAAGGUUAAGCGAAUCCUUUUAAAGCCGGUCUCAGUUCGGAUUGGGGUCUGCAACUCGACCCCAUGAAGUCGGAGUCGCUAGUAAUCGCAGAUCAGCAACGCUGCGGUGAAUACGUUCCCGGGCCUUGUACACACCGCCCGUCACGUCAUGAAAGUCGGUAACACCCGAAGCCA